rnacentral:rRNA from 1 species
AAUCAACGCUGGCGGCGUGCCUCAGACAUGCAAGUCGAACGAUUAAGACUCCCUUCGGGGAGUGUAUAAAGUGGCGUACGGGUGAGUAACACGUAAGUAAUCUACCUUCGAGUGGGGAAUAACAUCGGGAAACCGAUGCUAAUACCGCAUAAUGCAGCGGCAUCGAAAGAUGACAGUUGUUAAAGGAGCAAUUCGCUUGAAGAGGAGCUUGCGGCAGAUUAGCUAGUUGGUAAGGUAAUGGCUUACCAAGGCUACGAUCUGUAUCCGGUCUAAGAGGACGGUCGGACACACUGACACUGAAUAACGGGUCAGACUCCUACGGGAGGCAGCAGUCGGGAAUUUUGGGCAAUGGGCGAAAGCCUGACCCAGCAACGCCGCGUGAAGGAUGAAGUUUUUCGGAAUGUAAACUUCGAAAGAAUGGGAAGAAUAAAUGACGGUACCAUUUAUAAGGUCCGGCUAACUACGUGCCAGCCGCCGCGGUAAAAC